CCAAUAGCGUAUAUUAAAGUUGUUGCAGUUAAAAAGCUCGUAGUUGAAUUUCGGGAUCAAUUAAUUGGUCGUGCCUCUGGUACGUACUGAUUUUAUUGGUUUCUCCCUUCUGACGAACCAUGAUGUCAUUAAUUUGGUGUCGUGGAGAAUCAGGACUGUUACUUUGAAAAAAUUAGAGUGUUUAAAGCAAGCUAACGCUUGAAUACAUUAGCAUGGAAUAAUGAAAUAGGACGUUUGAUCCUAUUUUGUUGGUUUCUAGGAUCGACGUAAUGAUUAAUAGUGAUAGUUGGGGGCAUUAGUAUUCAAUUGUCAGAGGUGAAAUUCUUGGAUUUAUUGAAGACUAACUACUGCGAAAGCAUUUGCCAAGGAUGUUUUCAUUAAUCAAGAACGAAAGUUAGGGGAUCGAAGACGAUCAGAUACCGUCGUAGUCUUAACCAUAAACUAUGCCGACUAGGGAUCGGAUGAUGUUAAUUUUUUAAUGACUCAUUCGGCGCCUUACG
rnacentral:rRNA from 1 species